rnacentral:rRNA from 1 species
CACGUAGGGGGCGAGCGUUGUCCGGAUUUAUUGGGCGUAAAGAGCUCGUAGGCGGCUCAGUAAGUCAGGUGUGAAAACUCCAGGCUCAACCUGGAGACGCCACCUGAUACUGCUGUGGCUAGAGUCCGGUAGGGGAGCAUGGAAUUCCUGGUGUAGCGGUGAAAUGCGCAGAUAUCGGGAAGAACACCCGUGGCGAAGGCGGUUCUCUGGGACGGUACUGACGCUGAGACGCGAAAGCGUGGGGAGCGAACAGG